rnacentral:lncRNA from 1 species
CCGCAAGAAGGAAGCAAUGGCAGCCGCCGCGCCACCUCCUCCACCAACUCCAACGCCCACCCCACCCACAACAUUGCCUGAGACUGGCCCCGUCGGAAAUCCAAUCUUCGCCAGAAUCCGAAUCGCUAACCCAUCCGAUGUUCGCCCCCUCCACAAGCUCAUGUACCAGCUCGCCGUCUUCGAGCGCCUCCCCCACCUUUUCUCCGCCACUGAGUCCUCCCUUUCAUCCAACCUCUUCAACACUCCUCCUUUCCAAUCCUUCACCGUCUUCCUCCUUGAAGUCUCCCCCACACCCUUCCCUGACGCCCCUGUCGGCGCCCAUCCUCCGAUCACCCACGUCAUCAAUCUAGAUCUCCCCAUCGCAGACCCUGAAUCGCAAGAAUUCGGAUCGGGCGGCGACGCCGUGGUGGCAGGGUUCGUGCUGUUUUUCCCAAAUUAUUCGACGUUCUUGGGGAAGCCAGGGUUCUAUAUAGAGGAUUUGUAUGUCAGGGAUUGCUACAGGAGGAAAGGGUUUGGGAAGAUGUUGUUGUCUGCGGUGGCAGCUCAGGCGGUGAAAAUGGGGUAUGGGAGAGUGGAGUGGUGCGUGCUUGAUUGGAAUGUGAAUGCGAUUAAGUUCUACGAAGAGAUGGGUGCUCAGGUUCUUCAGGAAUGGAGGAUCUGUAGGCUGACUGGUGAUGCUCUUCAAGCUUAUGGAAAUUGAGGUCAGGGUUUUAUGUUUGCAGAUGAGGGUUUCGGAAUGGUAAGCCAUGCCCUUCCUUUUAUGUUGUAAUUCCAGCAGUGCUUUUAUAAGAAUUUCUGGAAUAUUGCUACUUGGUGCCCUGCUCAACGGAGAUUUGUGGCGUUGUAAUUUCUGCUAUCCUUUUUCUUUUACUUUUUAGUAGGGCAUUGACAUUUGCUGCUGUUUUUCUUUCUUGUAUGAUUUAUCUCAAAAAGACAUUUUAAACAUUUAGGAUGUGUAUGAUCAGUCAUCAUCUCCCUGCCCAAUUUGAUCCAAUUUGAAACAAUGAUAUGACUAUCAAAAUAUAGUGAUCCUUCCAAAGGGUUUGCUGUGGCUAAAUGCAUUUGAGGUUGCAACACUUCAAAAUAAUCAACGAAUGUAAUUCUGCAUCUUCAAAAUCAUUUGUUAGUUUUUUUAGCUAAAUAGGUUGUUUGUUUUAUUUGUAUUUUAUUUCUAUUAAGUAUUAAAAAAUAAAAAAAAACCAAUAUGUUAUUUUUUCUAUUUAGAAAAAAUUACAUAUUUUGGUUUUUUCUAUUUUACUUUCGAGUUAUGAAAAAGUAGAAAAACAAACAAUUUAAAUUCUAAAAACAAAUUGAUUUCAGCAAAAAGCCCAAAAAAUAAACAUCACCAAAGUUAGCAAGUAAGACGUAUUAGAAAAACGGUACACAGCUCCUCAUGGCUUGCAUGUAUUCUUGUAGCAGUAAUAUCAAGAGUAUGGAUUUACUAAAGGAUGUUGCAUUGACAUCAUGUUAUUUUGCCACUAAGCAAGAGUUUUUAUUAAAAAAUGAUUACUCCUGUCCUACCGGUUCUAUGUUAUUUCUUGAAAUGAAUGUUACAUCAUUAUAUGAUCUUGGACGUGGAUGUGGGUAAGGACUUAGUUGUUGUGGUAGACAUAGAUUUCAAUAUUGUUGUGAUCCUAGUCAUUUUUUUUUUUUUUCAAAUUCUUAAAUAGGAAAGUCACAGUCACACUACUAGAAGUAAAAUAAUAGAAAGAUGAUAUAAAAAAGGAAAUGGUUUAUUACACUUUACCCUCAAUCUAUAUCAUGUUUUGUAUAUUACCCCCUUAAGUUUAAAAUCAAGCAAUGUAUUCUCUAUGCUUUAUAAUUGUAUGCAAUGUGUAUUUUCUAAGUCACAAUGUUACAUUUUUUUACGGAAUGACAUGUGCUCUCCAUGUUAUCGAGGGCAAAAUUAUCAUUUUUUUCUCAAUCUGCAGCCCUCCUCUCCCUCGUCAAUCAUUUCUUCCCCUAUUGUUGCUGGUGAAGCCCCAAACCAAAGCCCUUUUCCCCCUGUUCUUCCUUCCCUUCAAAGUUCUAAAAUCCCAAUCCCACAAAGUUGUUACCAAAAACCUCACGCAAUUUCUCUUUGUUCAUUGUUUCCUCGUUGUUUGUGGAAUGAAAAUUUGCAAAAUCCCCAAGUAAUUUCUUUAGUCUUAGAAUCUCCAAAUUUCCCCCAAAAUUUGCAACAAAAUUUUCUUAAAAUUUCCCCCACUUUUCUAAAACAUGAAACAAAACCCUAACCUUUAAUUUGGUCGAGUUUUAUUCUCUCAAAAUUUCCCCAAAUUUUUUGAAAUAUCAAAACGAAACUCUAACCUUAACCCUAACCCUCUUUUCCGACAUGCUUCUACCCAUUAAAGAAUUAGAAGUCGAAAAAUUAUCAUUGAACUCCGAGUCUUCUCUUCGAUGUCAGCCCUACAUUAGCUUCCUUAAGGGAGGAGGGCUUUGACUUGGGGCUUCAUCAAUAGCAACAAGGGAAGAAAUGAUUGAUGGGGGAGUGAAGGUUAAAAAUGGAAUGACCCCUUUGCCCUCACUUAUUAAAAAAAUUACCAUUUUGCCCUCAGUCGCGUAGAGAGCACAUGUAAUUUCGCCCAAAAAUGUAAUGUCAUGACUAAAAAAAUGCACAUUGCAUGUGAUUAUAAAGCAUACAGGGUACAUUGCUUGAUUUUGAACUCGAUGGGGCAAUAUGUAAAAUACAGUAUAGGUUGAGGAGUAAAGUGUAAUAAACCCAAAAGGCAAAAAAAUAAAAUUUCCAAGAUUCAUGAAUAUAAACGAUACAUAUGUGACACGAAAGGAUAUUGGGCGCAUGGUUAUUACUUAUCAAAAGAUUUAGUUGAGUUUGAUUAGGUUUCAAUGAAAACAAAAGGAAAAACAUAGUGAUGAAUUUCCUAGAUGGGAAUAAACCUAUAGAGAUAACCCACCUAGAUGUCUUGGCUUUUUUUGAAAACCUUAGUAGAAAAAGUGACCAUUUGAUUAGGGAUGAAAAUGCUUAUCCGAUUAGAUGUUAUGAUGACACAUUUGACAUGUUAUCUCUUUAUUUCAUUAUUUUUUAAAUAUUACAUAUUUAUAGUUUUAAGUUAUACAUAUGAUUUCUUUUCAUUAAUUAUUGUAUUCAUAUGAAAAAUAUGUAAAUCUUACUAACCGCUUAGGAGUUUGCGAAAUUAAUCUUGAUAAUGAAUGUCUUGUAAAUUGUGUAAAACACAUAGAAUUCUUCGACAUCAAAGAUAUUUCUCAAACUUAUCCUUUGUCAAAGCAAAAAUUAAUAAGAUUAUUGGCUCCACACCUAAUGAGGGCUUUGCUUUGGAAAAAUAAUACAUUUUAUGGAUAUGGCCAAAACUUAUCUAUACGUGUUCAUAGGCGGGGACAAAUACAUAAAAUGUUUAAAGGAUUUAAAAUUUUUAAAACAUUUAUCUUAGAACCUCUACUCGAUUAAUUGCAAUAGUAUCUAAAUGGAUUCAAGCAAUUCAUGUGCAUGUGGUAUAACUGUCUUAGCGAAGACCUAGAAAAAGAAGAAUAGUUUAAAAUUUCUAAAACAUUUACUUCAGAACCUCAUGAUUUGAAUUUGAUUAAACUACAAUGAGCAUCUAUGAAUUGAAGCAAUUUGAGCAUAUGCGGUGUAAUUGUCUUGACAACUAAUAAAAAAAGGAUAUGCAAAUAAUUCAAUGCUCCUGUGGUAUAAUUGUUCAUGAGUCCAUGCGCAUUUAUUCCAAUAUAUGUUAACGACUUAAAUCUUAUUAGAACUUUUAAAGAGCCCAUAAAAAUAGUGAUUUAUUUGAAAAAGAAAGAUCUUAGAAGGACAAAUUUUAUCUUUGUCAAUAGCUUGAGUCAUGUUUCAAGUGUGAUAUUGUCCAUUAAUCAACACAUACAAAGAGAAUCCGAAGUGCUUUCACAAGACAAAGCACAUCCAUUGAACUUACUAAUGGUUGUUCAUUCAUUUGAGGUGAAGAAAAACCCAUUUCAUAUUUGUGAAGAUGGCAAAGGUCUACUUAGUCCUCAAAUACCAUGUCUUAGUACAAUUAGGGUAUUUAUGUAUCUUACAAAUUAUACAUGAGCAAAUAUUAUAUUUUUCAUUAGUUUUCUAGCAAGUUAUGGUUUUAUUAUGACUAGAAGACAUUAGAAUAAUAUCACACAUGUAUUAUGUUAUCUUUGUAAAACAAUUUAUGUAAGUUUAUUUUGUUCAAAAACUUUAGAAUCACAAUUAUUUGGAUAUAUAAAUACAAGUUAUUGUCCAGACUUUCAUAAAACUUGAUCUCAAACAAGAUAUGAAUUUACUUGUGAAAAUAUUGUUAUAUCAUAAGGAUUUGUAAAACAAACAAUGGUCGGUGCUUCUUUUCAUCACUCAUAAAUAUUUAAAAUUUAUGCACAAGUUAUGAAUGCAUAUGACUAAGAUAUUUGGUCUAGCAAAUUCAAAAGUCAUGUGUAUUAUCCUUGAUUAAGAGCCGUACAAUAAUAUUACAUGAAGAUAACGUUGCAUACAUUGUAUAGAUUAAAGGAGAAUAUAUUGAAAAGAAUAAACCAAACACAUCUCACCUAAAAUUUUCAUACAUGUGAACUUAAAAAGAGUAAUGAGAUUGAUGUCAUUCAAAUGAUAAUCUAGUGAGCAUAUUCACAAAGGUUUUGUCAAUUAUAACAUUCAAGAUGUUAAUACAAUAAAUUGGAAUACACCAUUUCAAAGAAUUUUUCAUGGCAAAUUGAUGUAAUUAAAAGUUAUGCACGUUUGGUACCUACACGAUCAAUCUGUCUCCGUAAGGUUUCUUUCAUUCCAUCGACAGCCUGAAGGUGUGUGAUGCAUCUCGUAAUGCACUAAGGCAUUUCAUACAAAACCCAUUGUUGUUUGGAGGUUCAUAUGAUACAGACAGGUGAGGUGAGGUGUAUUACGUUGUAUUCAUGGGUAGGAAGCCAGGCAUAUGCAUGUGGCCCUAUGUGACAAUGUCAGCGAUGAGUAGUUCGAUACACAGGCCCAUAUUUACAAGUCCUAAGAAUCUAUGGCGAAGGCAAGUAGGGCAUGGGUGUUGUAUGAACUAUGAAGCAUGGUGAAAAAGAGAUGGAGACACCUCUACUGCAACUGAUGAGGAUCUAUUGACUAAGCCCACCAGUCCACGUCAACUCCGGGACUUCCAGAUUAACGUGACUUAGAAAUCGAAGGGUCCGUCUGGAAGCGGUUUUCAUAAUAGAUUUCAAAGAAAACCCUGUGUGAAAGAUCUUUUUUUCUCUUCUUCUUUGGACGUUUGUAGGUCUUCCAGUAACGUGAGCCAUUCCAUGGUUUUCUAGGCUUUUAGCCCUUUAGGUUACCUAACCAUUAAAGUUGUAGUGGAUGCAUAAUUUUCCCUCGCUAAAGAACAAAAUGUGGAAAUGACUGUCGUACAAGUAUUGACACGAGAAUCCCGUCUGCAACAAGUUAGAAUGCCCGUGUCUGGUCUUAUCCAGACGAGACGUGGAGUCUCGAACCAUAUUUUACGCGUUCACUCCAAUUAUUAAGAGUGAAGUGGUGUGAAUGCUCGUGUCUGGUCUUAUCCAGACGAGACGUGGAGUCUCGAACCGUAUUUUACCCGUUCACUCCAAUUAUUAAGAGUGAAGCGGUUUGAUUAGGAUUCACGUGCCCUACUUUGUUUUCCGUAUAAAGAUGGGGGCUCAUAACGGAGUUUUGACCCAAAAAUAUUAUAUUAAAAAUAAAAAUUCUAUCAAGUAAACUUGAUUUUCAAAAUAAUGGAGUUUUGACCCAAAAUAUUAUAUUAAAAAUAAAAAUUCGAUCAAGUAAACUUGAUUUUUAAAAUAAUUUUCAAUCUAACGGUCUUUAUCACUCAUAUUAUAAAACCAUAAUAGAUGACUAUGGUUUUAUUUUUCUAAAAAUGUUAGAAAUGGUAAUUAUCAAUCACGAUUUUAACUUUAAAUUUAAAGCUUUACUAUUUUCAAUCAUUUUAAAAAUGGUCAAAGCAUAAUUACUAUGAUUUUAAUUUGUAUUUUAUAUAUAUAAAAUUAUAUUGUUUUAUUUGAAAUAUUUAAUUUUAAUUUUUUAAAUAAAAAUAUUAUUUUAUUUUGAUUUUAAAUAAACUUAUCUUAUUAUUUAAAUAAUAAUAAUAAUAUAUAAAAUUAAAUAAUUGAUAUGUUUACUUUGAUAUAAAAAUAUUUUUUAAAUUUGAUUAAAACAAUUAGUAUUAUAUUUAAUAUAAAUAUAAUUAGUUAAUUAAAAUUAAAAAUAAAUAAAAUAUAAUAAAUUAUACUUAUUUAGAACAAAUAAAUUAUGAAAGUCUAUUUAGAAAAAAAAUAUAAAUUAUUAUAUUAAUUUAUAAUUUUUUAUAUAUUAUAUGUAAGUGGUAUAUAUAUAUAUAUAUAAGUUUUAUUUAAGUUUAAAAUUUAUCAUAUUUUCAUUUAAAUAUAUAAAUAAAUUAUUAUACAUGAUCGGAUAUUAUGAAUGAAAAUAUGAUAAUAUUUUCAUAAAUUAUUAUUCUAUGAACACAAUGUGAUAUUAUAUACCAGUUACAUGUAAUAUAUAAAAAAUUAUUAAUUAAUAUAAUAAUUUAUAUUACUUUUUUUUUCUAAAUAGGCUUUCAUAAUUUAUUUGUUUUAAAUAAAUAUAAUUUAUUUGUUUUAAAUAAAUAUAAUUUAUUAUAUUUAAAUAUAAUUAACUAAUUAUAUUUAUAUUAAAUAUAAUAUGUAUUGUUUUAAUAAAAUUAAAAAAUAUAUCUUAUAUCAAAUUAAAAAUAUCGAUUAUUUAAUUUCAUAUAUUAUUAUUUUUUAAAUAAUAAGGUAAGUUUAUUUAAAAACCAAAUAAUAUAAUAUUUUUAUUUAAAAAAAUAAAGUUAAAGUCAUUGUUGAUUACUAUGACUUUAACCAUUUUUAAAAGAAUUGAAAACUAUAACCACCGAUUAUAACGUUAACUUAAAGUUAAAGUCGUGGUUGAUGAGGUUUCUAACCGUUUAAGAAAAACAAAACCAUAGUCAUUAACUACGGUUUUAUGACAUAACAGCUUAUAUAGUACAGACGUACCAAAUUGAACAUUAUUUUAUAAACAAGUUUAUUUUAGGGAAUUUUUUUUUUCAAUGUACUAUUUUGGGUCAAAACUCCUCAUCAUGAACCCAAAAUGUUGGCUACUAAGACUAAUAAAAAUAUAUGUAGGUGACAUUGAAAAUGAAUUUUCGAGUUACUAAACCUAGACAUAUACAUUUAGAAAACAUAUUUCCCCAAAAGAUGGGUAGGUCUAGAUAUAUCAGAUACUUUAUAAUGGUGGAGUUAGAAAUUGGUGUAACAGGAGGCAAAUAUGAAAAAUUAUGAAUCAGUUUGAUAGUAAUUGUAAGAAGUGUUUUCAAUUUUUUUAAUAUUUAAAUUUUUUUAUCUUUUAAACAUUAAAAAUGAUAGAAAAGUUUCUUAAAAUUAUUGUCAAAUAUACUCUAAGUAUAAAUAUGAAAGAUUUUAUCAUAUACUCUCUUCAUAGAAGGAUUAUUAGGAAUAAUCAAAUUAUUAUGAGUAACUUGAACUCAUUCUUUGCAACCUCAUUCUUAAACAUAAAUUUUAUCAUAUAUUUUUAAUAAUCAAGAUACAAAAUUUGAUAUUUAUAAAAUCGAUAUCUUAAUUUUUAGAAUUUCUUGAGGCUGUCCCUCACAUAAUAUUUCUGUUGUCCUCAACCUAGGGAAAAGUAAAAAUUAUGCUCAUGCUUAAAGGACUGUAAACCUGCAGUUUCAAUGCACUUUCUAUCAUCCAAAUAAAGGUUUGAAUAAUGUUUGGGUUGUGAGAAGUAAAAGAGACAAAAGAAAUGGAGAACAUGAAAGCACUAAGUUGCUAAAUAAUUUUGGGAGAAUUGAGUUUUGCACCCACUUGGGCGUGAAAAUUGGCUCAAGGUCCUCAUAUCUCUUGUAUUUAAGCUCAAAACCUAGUGGAUGAGUGAAAAUUGAGUUGAAGGACAUUACUUUUCAAAAUUUCUUAACAUGCCCUUGGCUAUCAAAAAGAAAAAGAAAACAAGUAACUUCCCACUUUCUCAUUCUCUCUCUCUCUCUCUCUCUCUCUCUCUCUCUCUCUCUCUCUCUCUCUCUCUCUCUCUCUCUCUCUCUCUCUCUCUCUCGUUAUUCACAUUACCUUUCUUUUACAUAUUAAUUGGUGGGACAUAUAAAUUAAUUCCUUAUUAAGGAAGUGUUACUAUUUCCAUCAAUUAUUUUUCUUCCAAAAAACCAUGCCUAAUAAAUUGAAUAUUAGAAACCAAUGGUUAAAAAUGAUUAUUACUACAUUUUUAAAGUAAAUACAUAUAUUUUUUUUUAAACACCUCAUAAUUUUUUUUAAAACUUAAAAAAUAUAUAAUAAAUAUUUUUUAAACACCUUAAAAAAUAUUAUUAUUCUUUUUUAUCCAACAUAUAUAUAUAUAUAUAUAUAUAUAUAUAUAUAUAUAUAUAUAUAUAUAUAUAUAUAUAUAUAUAUAUAUAUCUUUAAGGUUAUAGACAAUUAUUUGAAUAUUUUCUCUAUUUUAUGGACAAUACAUAGGUAUUGUCUUAAUAUAUUAUUUUGUAACAUGAUCAUCUUUUAACUAAUAUUGAUAAUUAAUUUUUAAUUGAAUAAUGUAUUAUAACUUAAUAAUUUGAAAAAUAUUCAAAUACACUUUUAAAUCUAAAAUAGAUGUGGACUUGAUAUGGUUUAAAUUAUUAAAUCACGUUGCCAUUAAGUCAAGCAAAUGUAUCAUAUUAAGAAAUGUGUACAUAAUUAUAUAAUAAUUUUCUCUUUUUUUAUUUUUUUUCCUCGGAUAUGAUAUCUUUUGUAUAAAGUUUUGUAGAUGGAAAAUAACAAAAUAUUUUGUUAUGUAAAGAGGUAUAACAACACAUUAAAAUCGAAAAGAGAAUAUAAUGGAACACAAAUUAGAUGAAAAUCACCUUAAAUAUGGAUAUAAUAGAAAACAUGUAAAUGCAAAAAAAAACAAGUUUAGAUGAAAUUUAAAAUAAAAAAUCAAAGAAAAUAAAUUAAAAGUAAUAAUAUAAAAAUCUUAUAAUCUUCAAAACUAUAAUUACAACAAAAAAAUAUAUAUUUUAAAUUAACUUGAUAAUUUAAAUUAAUGAUUUUUUUUUUAAAGAAAAUUACAAAUGUUACAAAGAUAAUUUUUUUUCCUUUUUAAUUCUAUUUAAAUAUGAUUUUUUUAAUCUCUGUUGACAUUAUGCUUAUAAAGGUAAAAUAGUAAAUAUAUAUAUUUUAUUUGAUUUACUUGUAAUAAACACUUUAAAUAUGAUUAAUUUUAAUUUUAUUUCCUAUGUUUUAAUUUUGGUAGGGAAGAUCUAAAUGACAUAGUUUGGUAAAAAAUAUUGAUAAUUUUUCCUCAACAGUUAUUAUAUGUUGUUUAUAUUGUCUUAAGUCAUUUGAAACAAUGACACUAAUGUUAUCCAUUUAUAUUAAUUUGAUUUCACAAAAAAAUGUAAUACCUAAAUAUUAUGGUUAAUUUUCCUUUAUAUAUGAUGUAAAGGUAGGAAGAAAAAAAUAUUGUUAAAACUACUUAAACAAAAUAUGCAAUUACAAAUUUUAGAUGAUGAAAUUUAAAAUUUAAAAUUAAAACAAUUUUUAGGUGAAGGAAUGUGUGGGGGAAAAGUGUUCAAUCCUUAGGUGACAAGAAAAAAAAAGUUCAGAAUUGAUUGAAAUCUUGCAUAAAGGGUAGCGUUGUACACCCUUGUAUAAUUAGUACAUUUGCCUCAUAUAGUUGGUACAUUUGUCUUGUAUAGUGAGUGUAACACCCUUGUAUAGUUAAUGUAACACCCUUAUACAAUAGUGCAAAUUUCAUGUACAAUUUGUGGGUGACAAAGAAAAUAAAGAAAUGAUUCAAAAUUGACUAAAAUAUUUCACAAAUGAUAGCCUUGUACACCCUUGUACACCUUUGUACACUUAGUACAUUUCCCUUGUACAGUUAGUGUAACACCAUUCUACAAUGAUGCAAUAUAUCCCUCUUAAGUUGUGUGUCCACAUAGGUAUAUUAACCUUAUUUCUAAUGGUUUGACUGUCAAAAUAGUGGAUGAAUUAGGAUUAAAUUUUUUUCCCCAAACAUUAUUACUAAGGAAAGUAUCGGAAUUUUCAUGUGAAAGUUAAAUAAAUUUCAUGACAAGGGUAUGCAAUCUGUGGGUGACAAGAAAAAUGAAAAAGUGAUUCAAAAUCGAUUAAAAUCUUUCAUAGAUGGUAGCCUGUACACUCUUGUACACUUAGUACAUUUCCCUUGUAUAAUUAGCGUAAUACCAUUGUACAAUGGUGCAAUAUAUCUCUCCUAAGUAAUGUGUCCACGUAAGUGUGCUAAUCAUAUUUAUAAUGAUUUAACUGAGAAAAUAAUGGAUGAAUUAGGGUUAAUUUUUUUUCCUCUUACAUCAUUACUGGGAAAGUAUCGGAAUUUCCAUGUGGAAGUUAAAUAAAGUGCAUGACAUGAGUAUGCAAUUUGUGGGUGACAAAGAAAAUAAAGGAGUGGUUCAAAAUAGAUUGAAAUCUUUUAUAAAUGGUAAUUUUAUACACUGCUUGUACACUUAGUACAUUUCCCUUGUAUAGUUAGUAAAUACCCUUGUAAAUUGAUAAAUUUCAUAUCCCCGUAGUGUAUGUAUGCCUAUAUGUGUAUUAAACAUGAUUCUAGUAGUUUGAUUAAAAAAAAUGACGGAAAACUUAAAUCCAAUUUUUUUAUGAACAUAUUACAUUUUUGUGAAAAAAAUAUACAAUUGACUAACUCCUUUAUUUAAUUGUCAACAUAUUAUAUUUUAAAAAUAAAAAAAGAAUAAUCAAUAAAUGAUAUUUAAUUCUUUUUAUUAUUUUCAUAUAAAAAAAAUAGUAUUAAACAAGGUCUUCAAUUUUUUUUUAAAUAGUUUUCAUUUUUUUUAAUUAAAUGUAUUUUCAAAAAGAGACAAUAUAAAAAAUAAAAAUUAUUUUUAAAAAUAAAAAAAUAAAAACUAGAAAAAUUAUUUUAAAAUCAAACUCAAACAUAAUCUAUAUAAUUUUUAACUACUUGUUUUCAUUUAAAAUGAGUAAAUAUAUUAUUUAACCCUUUUAUAUGAGAAAAAAUCAAUCUCUACUGUAUUAUGUAUUGAUAUAAUCAAUUUCUAAAUAUAAAAACAUUUUAGUUGGAUAUUUAAAAUAAAAACUCUUCAUCUAUCCUCUUUUUCUCUUUUUCUUUUUUCUUAUUUCAAUAAAUUUUCAAUUAAUUCAAAUCAUUAAAAAAAUUUCCUUAAUAAACAAAUUUGGAACUUAUUACCAAAAGUCUAUGUUCAAAAAAAUAUUAAAAUAAAAGAUUUAAAAAAAAAACUUUAAACUUUUUGUUUUAUAACAGUAAAAAAAUGUAAACUUUAAAAUACUUUUUAAUAUAAAAGAAAAAAAAUAGUAAAUAUAUUUAUUUUAAAUAGUUUUUUAAUCAUUAAAUUGUUUACUUUUAAAAUGUAAAAAAUAAUUUUUAUUUAUUUAAAUUAAUAUUUUUUUCUAAAGUAUUUUCCCAAAAUAAUUUUUGAAUCAUUAAUAUAAUUUUUGUUUAUUUAUAAUUUAAAAAUAAAAAAUAAUGCUGAUUUUUCAAUUAUUUUUAAAAGAGUUUAAAAAACGAUGGGUGUAAGUUAAAGGGGUAUUUUUGUUUAUUCCAACCUUAUAUCAUUGUAGUCAAUUAUGGGUAUUUGAAGGACCUUUUAUUAAUUACCCAAGUAGGUGUAAAACACAAUUCUCCCAAUAAUUUUUCUUUCCAUUUUUUUAAGAAAACAAGAGGAAGAAAAUAAGGGGAAAAAAAGUGAACAAAUGAAAAUAAAUUUUAAAUUAAUAAAUUAAUUUUAUAUAUUUAUUCAAAUUCAUGUUAUUUUUUGCAUACAAAAUUAAAUAAUUUUAAAAUAUAUAAAAUUAUAAUUAUAUAUUAAUUUCUUUUGUAUAAAGUGUCUAAUUUAGCAUAAAAAUAUCGAAUGUAGUAUGUCUAGCAUUUUUUUGCAUCAUACUAGUUAGCACAUACUACCCAAGAGUUUUGGCAAGCGUAUACAUUUUACAUAAAUACUGAAUGAGGUCUAGUAGUUUUAAUUUAAGAAACAAAUAAUAGGGCUCAAAAUUGUCAAUUUUUUUUUUUUUUUUGUAUGCAUGAAUUAUGAGAAGAUUUAUGUUUUUCUCAGAUCUCUUGCAUUGUAUAUAACUUGAGUGCAUUAGUAAUUGUAUGGAAGAUCCAAGUCAUUAAUUCUUUACAAAUAGAUGAUUUGUUCACAAUCAAUUCAUAGGCCUAGAUAAUCCAUUAAAAGUUGUAAGCACAUUAUCUUUUAAUUUGAUGGAUGANNNNNNNNNNNNNNNNNNNNNNNNNNNNNNNNNNNNNNNNNNNNNNNNNNNNNNNNNNNNNNNNNNNNNNNNNNNNNNNNNNNNNNNNNNNNNNNNNNNNCCUAGAUAAUCCAUUAAAAGUUGUAGCACAUUAUCUUUUAAUUCGAUGGAUGACUAAUCUUGGUCAUUGGCAUAAGUUUCCCAUGAUGAGUUUACUAGUGCGUAUAGUUACAUAUUAGACAGAACAUACAAUGAGUCAUGACGUGAAGUUAUCAAGUAAUCAUGAUUUCUCCAAAAUGUUUCAUUAUAUUGUUCCUCAACUUUGAGAGAAUACUAAGUUUAUGGUUUUGACCUAUGAAUGAGAUCCUAAAGUAAUCAUAUAUUUCUUAUGGAUUAGGUCACUAUUGAUGGAAGUUGAUAGCAAUAAAUAUUCUUAAUAAAGACACUAUGACAUCUCAUAGGAUUGAGAUAGAGUGUUCUCUUGGAUAAUCUUAAGAAGGUGUCUUCAUGUAAACUGUAGUCAUAGUCAUUCCUUAAGUGGAACUUGAUAUAAACUAUUUGUGAGAUUAAAUAUAUUAGUUAAUCACAUAAAAUGAGGAUCUAUAACUAAAGGAUAGUAAACAUAGUAUUGAAAGAUUUAUAGUUUUCUCCUUAUUAGACUACAAUCACCAGUUCAUGUGGAGACUGAACAUAAUGAAUAGCAAGUCAUAGACCCAAACACUUUGUAUCUCAUUAUUAUUUACAUAGGGUACUAUAGUACAAUUGAUUAUCUGAAGUGAGAUAUUGAAUAAACUUCAUAAUUGGAUUAUGAGGGAACCGAUAUUUUCUUAUGAGUCUCAAUGGUCCUUGGUCAAGCUCAUAUACCUUGUUGGCAUAGUUAUGAGAAUUGGAUCGACUUUUGAUUCACUUAUGUGCAUAAGGACAUUUUGGUAAUUAUAUAAUGUUGUAUAAGAAUUAGUGAACGACAUCUUUAAAUUGAACUAAUUGAUUAAUUAGAUAACUAUAUGAGAUUAAUUAAUCAAUUAUGACCUAAUUUGGGUUUAGAUUAAAUGAUCGAAAUUCAUGCGAGUUCAAGUCACUUAAGCCUAAUUAGGAACUCUAUAAAUACCCUUUAGGAAUUAAGGUUUCCAUCACUUCUGUCUUUCACCAUCUAAAGUGAAAAGAAGCUCCUAUAUUCCACCCUCCUAAACUACCCACAAUAUGUGUGCAAAGGAACGAAGUUGAGUCAUUGAGUGAAAGAUUGUGGAUCUACAAGACUUCUAAGAACAUUAAUUUGAUUCUUCAACAUAUAAAAUUUAAACUUUAGGAACAUUCAAACCUAAAAGUACAUGCACUUCCCUCAUUUAUUUAUUUAAUUUUGUGUGAUAUAUAUGCUUUAUGUGAGUAUUCUAUUGUUAUGUUCUUUUUUAUUAUUGUCAUUGUCACCUUCGCUCUUUGCUAUCCAUUAGUUUAUUGUCAUGGUUACCUCAAUUUGAUUAGUAGAGACUUUUACUUAAAACUUAAAGAGGUGCUACCUUAUGGUACUUUUCCAAUAGAUAACUUAACUCUUGGACUUACACUCGAUUUUUAAAGAUAUGAUUUUUCAAGUAAAAAGUUACUCUUAGGUUUUAUUUUUUAUUCUAAUUUCCAUUAUAAAAAAAAGUGACAAUUCCAUAUUUUUUUCAAAAAUCAAUUUUUCACUUAAAAAGCUAAUAUCGCCAUUGAGUAGGAAUGCAUGUGAAAAAUACAAGUUCACAAUUAUCUAUGACUUGCAUUAGGCACACUAUGGAAGACCAAUUAAUAUGGUUUCAAAAAUUCUAAAGGAGGUACCUCAUUCUUCAUCUACCCAAUGAUGGACACACUAUCCACUUGUAUACGGACAAUUGCAAUAUCACAAGUAAUUAACCACAUCUUUUACAACAUUUUAUUAACACUUUGGCUACUUAAUUCUCUAUUAAAGAUCUUGGGUUUGGAGUUGAUGUUGUUCCAACAGAUGUAGGUAUUUCCCUUUCCCUGCAUAAAUACAUUUAGGCUAUGUUUGGUUCUCGGAAAAUUUGAGGAAAAAUGCGAGGGAAAGAAAAUACAAAGGAAAAGUAGAAGGAAAGAAAAAGUGAAAGAAAAUAAAAAAAAUAGAUUAAAAGUUGAUAAAUUAUUUUUUUUGUUACUUCAAACUUAUUUUAUUUAUUUUAACUCAUCAAUAUAAAGAUUAAAUAAUUUAAAAAUAUAUAAAUUUUUAAUUAGUUUUAAUUAUAUUUGAUUUUCUUUGAUAUUUUUCAUAGGACAACCAAACAUGAGAAAAUCAUUUUUCUUAGCAUUUUUUUUCUUUCCUUUGUACUUUCCGGAACCAAACAUAGCCUUAGGAUUUACUUCACAAAAUCAAUAUGCAAGGCACAAAGGAGUCUCUACCCAUUGUCCAUACCUACCCAACUUCGCCUUGGUGAUGACUCUAAACCAAUCGAUAUCACUAGAUUUCGCCAAGUUAUUGGUGGCCUCUAUUAUUUCUUUGACUUGUCAAGAUAUUUCCUCCACAGUCAUCAAGUUGUCUUAGUUCAUGUAGUCAAUUUGUCCGCUUCAAAAUCUUGACUUUGGGCAUUCAUUCUCGUACUAAAAUUUCAAAUUUUCUCACCCUUUUGGGACCCCUCCUAUUUCCCUAUUACUUUCUUACCAUCAAAGGCUAAUUGCAAUAAUUGUCUUUGGCAUUAACGUGCCAAUAUCUUCUCCCAAACUCACAUAUUUAUAAAGCUUUAGUAAAAGUCUCCCUUUUACCUUACAAAUUCUUCUUGUGCAAUGAUAUAGUACAAGUCCAAAUUCACAGGCAAUCCCUGUGUAAAGAAAAUUCGUAUGAUGGCAUUAUCAUAUCUUUCCACUUGAAUGAGGAAUGGAGUUGAAUCUUUUUGCAUAGUUGCGAAUACAGUUCAAGCAAUACCAUUUUGUUAAAAGAAAUGAGACGCCGGAUUCAGAAAAGAUGAGGCAACUGCUCUUUGUUGUCACAAGUCACAUGAUGGUCAAAAACUUGACUCAAAAUUUCCGAGCCACCCUUAAGUCAAAAGUUUGUAUGAAAUUUUUGUGCAAACGAUGAGGUUAAGAAAAGUCUAAUAAAAAAGUAAAAAAUAAAAAUAAAAAUUGUAGGGGGUUUAAUAAUUAAAGGUGGCAUGCCCUAAUAAGAGCAUGAUAUAAGAUGAGGAAAUCCCGGGGUUGGUGAGUAUUUGUAGAGAGGGUGAGGGACAUGGUCAUGUUUUACCUCAAUCAACAUGGAUCAAAGGAGAGAGGGUGAACGGAUAAAUUUUUUUUUAAAGCAAAAUCAUUUUUUCAAAUUUCAAAAGACAAAAUCUUCUUUUCAAAAGAAGAUUUUAAAAAAAUUUCAAAAGGGAAAUCGUCUCUUCAAGAGACGAGUUCCAUGAAUAUAUAUAUAUAUUUAAAAUUUUCCAAAUUAUAAAAAAAAAAAAAAAAAAAAAACAAUUCCUCGAGUGAAGAGACGAGUUCAAAAAAUUCCUCAAGGAACUCGUCUCUUGAAGAGACGAGUUCCAUGGAAAAAAAAUUCCCAAUUUAUUAAAAAAAAAAAAAAUUCCUCAAGGAGUGUCUCUUGAAGAGACGAGUUCCCAUGGAAAAAAAAUAUAUAUUUUUUUAAAAUAUAUUUAAAAGAAAAUUCCUCAAGGAACUCGUCUCUUCAAGAGACAAGUUCCAUAGAAAAAAUAUAUAUAUAUAUUUUUAAAAAAAAUUCCCAAUUUAUUAAAAAUAAAAAAAUAAAAUAAAAUAAAAAGAAUUCCUCAAGGAACUCGUCUCUUGAAGAGACGAGUUCCCAUGGAAAAAAAAUAUUUUUUAAAAAAAAUAUAUUUUAAAAAAAAUUCUCAAAAAAAAAAAAAAAAAUUCCUCAAGAAACUCGUUUCUUGUCUCUUCAAGAUACGAAUUCCAUGGAAAAAAAAUUCUCAAUUAAAAAAAAAAAAAUUCCUCAAGAGACGAGUUCCCAUGAAAAAAAAUAUAUAUUUUUUUAAAAAAUUCCCAAAUUAAAAAAAAAAAAAAAAAAAACAAUUCCUCAAGAGAACUCGUCUCUUGAAGAAACGAGUUCCCAUGAAAAAAAAUAUUUUUUUAUUUAAAUUCCCAAAUAAAAAAAAAAAUUCUCAUCUCUUCAAUAGACGAGUUCCAUGGAAAUAUAUAUAUUUUAAAAAAUUCUCAAAUUAUUAAAAAAAAAAAAAAAAAAAAAAAACCAAUUCCUCAAAGGAACUCGUCUCUUCAAGAGACGAGUUUCCUUGAGGAAUUGUUUUUUAUUUAUUUAUAAUUUGGGAAUUAUUUUUUUGUUUAAAUCUCUUCAAGAGACGAGUUCCUUUGAGAAAUUUUUUUUUUUUUUUAAUUUGAGAAUUUUUUUUCAUAGGAACUCAUCUCUUAAAGAGACGAUUUUCCUUUUGAAAUUUUUUUAAAAUCGUUUUUUGAAAUUUUUUUAAAAUCGUCUUUUGAAAAGACGAUUUCGUCUUUUGAAAUUUGAAAAGAUGAUUUUGGUUUUAAAAAAAAAAUUAUCCGUUCACCCUCCCUCCUCUCUCCUAGGUGGCAAAAACUAUCAUAUAUUUGUAAUAAUUUCUUCUACUACAAUAAUUUAAGUAUAACUUUUUUAAAUUAUCUUACUAUUGAGAAAAGUCUCAUUCCCAUUUCCAUGAGACAACGGCAAAUAUAAUAAUCCAAAGCACACUUGACUUGGAUUUCCUAAAGACGCGCUAAGAAUUAAUCUUUUAUAUGACAAUCAUACUCCUCGCCCUCUUUCCCCUGCGCUUGUUCAUCCAAAGCUUUAAAAACUGCUGUGUCAUUGGCGGCGCAGCCACGAUCCACACCGCCGCCAAUCGCAAUGCUUAAUGCCACGACCGGAUGAGUAGCAACUCAGCAUCCCAUUAAAAAACAACUUAAUCUUUUAAGUAUAAAAAAAUAAGGUCUUAAUAAGAAAAAUUAUCAACAGUAUUAAAAUAAACAUGAACAAGGAUGAUAAAAUUUCCAUGAAUUACAAAUUGUAUUAAGAGUUUUUUUAUUCAUUUGACCAGAAUCAUCUAUCAUCUCCAAAAUAGAUAGCACAAUUUAUAUGGGCCAUGGUGUUCGAUGUACUGUUGGGGUAAAUUCGGGCGUUCAAAAUUUCAAACCAUAAACGUCAGAAUGAGCGACGACACACGAAUGGCACUGCCACGUGUCCACCAAAGGGGAUGAACGGUCCUAGGAAUUGAUAUUUGAAGGGCAUGCCCUGGAGGCGUGAGACAACGACUCCACUCCAUACCUCCAAAACCGUCCCCUGUUUUUUUAAUCUGUCUCUCUCUCUGCACCCUUUUCUAUGAAACGCCUCCUCCUCCGGCGCGAUUCGAUAUCACCCCGGCAACAUCUCCAGGUUGAAUCCUCGGAGUUUGAGGGGGUUGUAGUGCCUCCCAAUCCCAUGUGCAAAUCCAAAAGCAGCAUCAGUGCAGUGGAGCCCAGUGUCAACCACGGCCGAUCAGACACACCCAGAAGCUCCCGAGUCACCAGGACGUCCAGGUCGUCUUCUUCUGCGACGGAUCGCAGCAAUUUUAAUCUUCCCACCAAUUACAACACCAGUGGGACUUCCAGGUCAUCUGAGUCGACUCCCGCUUCGCUUUCUUGCAUCAGAGAGUCCUUGCCGGAGAAUCCCCACGUCUACGACAUCUCCGAAAUCUGCUCCGCCACCGGCAAUUUUCUUGCCAAGAAGUUCUCCUCCUCCUCUUCCGCUUGGCGCUGCUCUGUCCGCGGCAAAGACGUGGUCAUCUUCCAACGAAAGCUCCGCCGCCCCAUCGAGACUGCGGAGAUUCGCAAACUGCUGUCGGUGAUUUGCAAAAGCCACCAUGGGAGCUUGAUCAAGCUCCUCGGGGCUUCGAUUUCUGGAAACCACAUUUACCUCGUUUACGAUUACGUUGAUGGCGCUAGCCUCGCAGAUUGUCUCAGAAACCCUAGAAACCCUAAUUUCACAGUUCUGUCGAAUUGGGUCUCGAGAAUGCAGAUCGCGGCGGACUUGGCUCACGGGCUUGACUACGUCCACCAUUGCACUGGAUUGGAUGCGAGUUUUGUGCACAAUCGUAUCAGGAGUUCCAGCAUUCUCGUGAUUAACGACUCGUUGAAUGCCAAGAUAUGCCAUUUCGGCACCGCACAACUCUGCGGCGAAAUCGCGGAAGGUACCGGAAAAAAUUCAGGGUCCUCCCAAUUGAAAAGAUCGGGCAGUGCGGUGAUGAAGAUCGAGGGGACGAGAGGGUACAUGGCACCGGAAUUUCAGUUGACAGGAUUGGCGACGCGGAAAUCGGAUGUGUAUGCGUUUGGGGUGGUGAUUUUGGAGAUCUUAUCUGGAGCAGAGGCGUUGAAGUACAUUGCGGACGAUGAGAGUGGUACAUAUAAGAGAGUGAGCGUGAUUGAAACAGCUAGAGAGGCCAUUGAAGCUGAAGGUGGCGGCGGCGGUGGUGGGGUGAGGAGGUGGGUGGACAGCAGGCUCAAGGACUCGUAUCCGGUGGAGGUGGCGGAGAAGAUGGUGCGUUUGGGUCUGGAGUGCGUGGAGGGGGAUCCGGGUAAGAGGCCCAAUAUGAGUGAAGUAGCGGCUCGAAUUUCUAAGCUGUACUUAGAGUCCAAGAAUUGGGCCGAUCGAAUAGGGAUGCCUACCGAUUUCUCUGUCUCAAUGGCACCUCGAUGAAUCCCUCCAUAGAGUUAUGAUUUAUAGUAAAAUUAGAGGAAGAGCCAGUUGAUUUACAGACACAAACACGCAGCAUUCUUACAGAUGACAUCUAACAUCAAGGUAGCAAUUGAUUACAGUUCAACUUAGGUUUUGUUUUCAGUUAAAUUUCGAACUACUCAUUCGAUCAAUUCAUCAUCAUGAUUGAGAAUGAAGAGUUCACAGAAGUGGAGAUGACACCCUUGUACAGCACUACGCCAUCUCUACCGGGAAUCUAAUCAUUCAGGUUUUCUUUUCUACUGUUUUGAGUCGUGAGAAUUUUGAUGUAAUGUGAGGAAAUUUUUUUAUACUGUACAUGUUUUGUCAUAUAUUCAUAUAUUUUAAACACAGAUAUUUCUUUCAAAUUUCAAUCAUCCCCACUUGCUUAUGCUGAGAUACUGGGAUUCUCCAAACUGAUCAGCCGACGUCUGAUGUCGAUAAAGACCUGCACUGCGGGGGUGUUGCCUCUCAUUCUCGUAAGCCUUUUGACUACUACCCGAACUUAUCGUAACCCACAUGCGCAACACUAUCCAAGAUGCCAGAGCAAGUCGGUCAAUUAGUCCCCAUUAGCUUUCUUUGGUGCCCUCUUCUGUGACCCAAUUUUGAUCUUACGGAUUCAAAAGGCUCAUGAUUCAAGCUAUAAACACAAAAAGCAUCUUAUUUUAUUUUUUUUUCCCAUGAAGUUGAUGCGGUUGUAUUUAUCACUAUAGCUGUUAAGCCCCUGUUGUGAACUUGACUCCCCUAGAAUCCCCAAAAAUCAACCUGAUGACCAUCAAAACAAUACUAACUUUGACAAGAGUGUUUGAGCUUAUUGUUUGUUUUUUUACUUAAUUUUAAAUAUAAUAUUAAUAUUUAAUAGUGUUAAAUAUUAAGUUAUUUAUUUUUAUAGUAUUUUAUUUCUAUUAAGUAUUAAAAAGUAAAAAAAAAUCAAUAUAUUAUUUUUUCUAUUUAGAAAAAGUUACAUAUUUUGAUUUUUUUCUAUUUAGUAAAAAGUUUAUAAUAAGUCAUAAAAAAACAAACGAUAUAAAUUCUGAAAACAAAUUACUUUCAGUAAAAAACCAAAAAAAUAACCAUCAUCUUAAUCUAAAAAUUUUUAAAUACAAACGGUAGUGUCACCCUACAAAUUGUGCAGAAGCAUUAAGUUGUGACCAAUUCCAACUUUUGUAAACAGGUCAAAUUCAAGACAAGGGAGUAUUUUAGCGGUUUAGUUUUUUAUGAGAAGGAUAUUGAGGAGAUCUCCCUUGGCGUGCAAAACCAUCUUUAAAGUAUGCUAAUAUGACCACAACCUGCGUUCCUACACAAGACCAAGCAGAUAAAAUGCCCCACCCUAAAUUAGUAAGAGAAGUUUAAUUUUGAUUGUUUGAACAGCUAUUCCAAAUAGUAAUUGGCAAGCAUGAUCCAUUAAAACCAACUAUGAUUGAAAUACUAUUUCCUUUUUCCUUUCUUUUUUUUUUUUUUUUUUUUUUAUGAAACUAAGACCAAGAAUCUAGCUCCAUCCAUAUUCAAAGGGGCAAUGAUAUCAAAAAUAAUAGAAAGUGGAGAAUGAGGAUGGAUGAUGAGUGAUAUGAUGUGUAGGCUGUUUGAUACCUUGAAUUCAGUCACUGAUUCAUAGAUUAGAGUCGCUUCUUAAUAAUUUGUUUUAAAAUUCUAUACAACCAUUUGAAAUGAUUUUGAACUAAUAUUUAGCAGGUGUCUCUUUCCAAAAAUUAAUUUUUUAUGUAUCACUUUAGUGAAAGUACUUUGAAUACUUAAAUAAAAAAUAAUAAUAAAAAAAUCUAAACAUUAUUUGACUAUGCUUUCGAAAAUAUUUACAAAAAUCAGUUUUUAAGAGUAUUGCUUUGAUGUUUAGCAAUAAAAUUUUGUUUCAAACCUAAUUUUAAAUAUAAUAACUUAUUUUAUUGAAAUGCAUUUUAUUAUUAUUAUUAUUAUUACUAUAUAUAUUAAAAAUUAAAUUAAAGUCGUCCUCAUCAGGCAUGAUGAAUAGCAAGUUGUAUUGCUACAAAUAUAAUAUUUUUUUUUUGAAAAAAAAAUCUAAAUUUAUUAUUAUUAUUAUAUCAAAACUGUCCUCAAUGACUAUGAUUUAGAUCUUCAAGCUAAAAUCACAAUUACUACUGUGUGUGGUAGGAAAAAUACUAAUUUAAUGAAUAUUUUGAAGAUCUAGAGGGAGAAAUUUUUUUAAAAGAAAUACAAACUUCCAUGAUCUUAUAUCUUAAAAAACAGAAAAAAAAAAAAAAAAAAAAAAAAAAAAGCACCAAUUUGAUGAAUACUUUGAAGAUCUAGAUAGAGAUUUUUCUUUUUUUCUUUUUUUAAAAAAAGAACAUUACUUUUAUGGCAAACCCUGUGAUCUUGUAUCUUAAAAACAGAAAGCACAACUUAAAAGAAUAGUGUGUUGCUUGUAGUUUCCAAUCUUCAUCUAUGGUGUGCCUUUGCACUUCUGGUUUAUAUGCUCAAUUGGGCUACGUUGUUUGAUGUCUUGUCUGGUCAACUAAACUCAUCAUUGACUUUUCCAUUUUGUGUAUUUAUUCUAAUAACCUCAUUCCUCAUCAUUUUAGUCUCCUUCAUACCUUCGCCAUUAGUAUUUCCUAGUCUUCGUCUUUGUUAUGGAUGUGUAGUUCGGUUCCAUUUGCAUACACCAACUUUGGGAGAUGAACUUACCAUAGAAUUGGGUUUGAGGGAGCUUGUUCUUAGCUCAAGAUUUCGUAAAAUCAAUUUUGAUAAUUUCAAAAACAAUGGAUUAUAACUUGACGUCAUGUUUUAGUUUAAUUGAGAAUGAUAGAAAUUGAAAGAUAUUAUUUUCAAAUGCUCAAAAUUAAAGUCAAAAUUAAUGAAAACUUACGACCUUUUUAAAAUAUUAAAUAUAAAACGAUUUUCAUUUUGUAUGAAAAUGUUGUCAUGAUUAGCCAAGUUUUAAUAUUAUUAUUUAGAACUGCAAAACUAUACAAGACAAUCACCCCAACAUAGGCGAUCCACCAAUCCCAUGGGUGGUAGGUGCAAUUGUAAGUGGCAAUAAGUUGAGGUACCAAUUAAUAAAUUGGUUGACUAGUUUAGCAAUUAGUCGAUUGAUUGAACAAUCAAUUAACCGAUGAGUCACAAAUAAUCACAUGUAACCCUAACAACAACUUUCCUGAUCAUGUCUUGAUAGAUCGACGUAAAAACUUAUUUUUAACCACUAACUUGUACAAGGAUCACCAAUUUAAAACUCAUGAACAUCAUUUAUCUGUUUUUCAAUAGUUGAAUGUCAAUUUUAUUGAUCACAAAAAAGUUUUAAAUCUUUUUUAAUACAUUUAGUCCCGAACUUGCAAAUCACUUAACUUACUUUUGAAUCUAAUUACCAUUCUUUCUUAUUUUCAAUUUUAAGCUAGGUCUACUCCAUAAAAAAUACUCAUUGUGUUUUAUUUGAGAUAGGGUUUUUAAAGCAUUUGUGUAAAGUGUGAUUAAAGGGUCAAAGCUUGACCCUAAUUGAUAUUCAUCCACGUAAAUAUAUAGUACAUCAAGCAAACCUAAUUAAGGGAAAACCGUGAGUUUAGGAAACAAUCCUAAACAAUAGCAACUACUUUCCUAGAAUACUUUCCUAGAAUAUAUCAUAAUAUCUCAAUCGUGAGUUUAGGAAACAAUCCUAAACAAUAGCAACUACUUUCCUAAUAUACUUUCCUAGAAUAUAUCAUAAUAUCUCAACACCCUCCCUCAAGUUGGAGCAUGAGGUUCAAAAAUGCCCAACUUGGUAAGAAGAUAAUCAAAUUGUUUCUUUCCAAGAGCCUUUGUAAAAAUAUCUGCCAAUUGUGUAACAGUAGGAACAUAUGAUGGAGCAAUCAAACCAUCUGUUAUCGCAUCCCGGACAAAGUGACAAUCAACCUCAAUGUGUUUGGUGCGUUCAUGAAAUACUGGAUUUUUGGCCAUAUGAAGGGCUGACUGACUAUCACAAAAGAGCUUGAUUGCCUUUGGGUGGUGCACACCCAGGCUCAGAAGCAACCCCUUCAACCAUUUGAGCUCACAAGUAACUGCUGCCAUAGCUCGGUAUUCCGCUUCUGCAGACGAGCGGGAAACUGUGUGUUGCUUCUUUGUCUUCCAAGAAAUAGGAGAUUGCCCAAGAAACACAAGUCAUCCGGACAAAGAGCGUCUAGUGACUGGACAUGCUGCCCAAUCAGAAUCACACCAACCCUGUAGGGACAGAUCACUAUCUGCACGUAACAAGAUACCCUGACCCAGAGUACCUUUCAAAUAACGAACGACUCUCAAAGCUGCCUCCCAAUGCUCAAUUCUAGGCUCAUGCAUAAAUUGAGAUAAUAUAUGAACCGAGUAGGCCAAAUCUGGACGGGUCACUGCCAGAUAAAUGAGUCGACCUACUAAUCUGCGAUAGGACUCAGGGUUCGACAAGAGCUCCCCAUUUGCGAGUCCUAAUCUGUGAUUUUGCUCGAUCGGGAAGCCACACGGCUUGGCUCCCAGUAAUCCGGCCUCCGAUACAAUGUCAAGUGUGUACUUGCGUUGACACAAGAACAAACCAGCCGAACUCCUGGCCACCUCGAUUCCGAGGAAAUACUUCAAAACACCAAGAUCUUUCAUCUUAAAAAAAUCACUGAGAUAGGCUUUAAAGGUCUUAAGAGCAGCGGAAUCAUUCCCAGAGAUAAUAAGAUCGUCGACAUACACUAGCACAUUUAUUUGAACAUUGCCCGUAGUGUAAGUAAAAAGAGAAUAAUCAGAGUAGGAUUGUAAGAAACCAUAUCCUUUAAGAGCCGUGACCAACUUGGAAAACCAACAUCUCGGAGCCUGUUUCAACCCAUAAAGUGAUUUCCGUAACCUGCAAACCAAGUUCGGAUCGGAACGCUCAAAUCCUGGGGGUAGCUUCAUAUACACUUCCUCCUCAAGAUCUCCAUGUAAAAAGGCAUUGUGAACAUCCAUCUGAUGAAGUUCCCAAUUUUUCGAAGCCGCAAUAGCCAAGAAAGCACGCACCGUAGUCAUUUUGGCAACUGGAGAAAAUGUCUCAUGAUAAUCAAUACCAGCUUCUUGAUGAUUCCCCAAAACUACUAAUCUGGAUUUGAGCCUUUCAAUAUCACCGUUUGAGAAGUACUUGGUUCUGUAAACCCACUGACUUCCCAAAGCACGCUUACCCUUUGGAAGAGGUUCAAGAGUCCACGUACCAUUUUCCUCCAAAGCCCGAAUCUCCUCAUGCAUUGACUUUUGCCAACCGACAUCUUUCAUAGCCUCUUUAAAUGACUUAGGAUCAUUGCUCGAAAUAAUAGUUGCAAGAAACUUUCGAUAAUGUACAGAAAAAUUGUCACAAUUUAUAUAAUGUGCUAUGGGAUAAGGAGUACCUGAGGGAUGCUGUGGAGACGGAGUGGCGGGAGAUGGACUUUCAGCAACCACCGUAUGAGUAACAAAAUCUCGUAAUAGAACCGAAGGAAAUUUAUCCCUCAUUCCCUUUCCCAUAGGAGCAGACUGCCCAUUGCUUGAAUUGUCAAGUCCAAGUGAAUCAAGCCCAACAGUGGGAACAACUUCCGGCCCAGGUGAAAGAGGCGCUGAAGAAGCCUCGGGAUUUUGUGUUUGGGCUUGUGGGUUAGGCAAAUCAGCAUCAUCAUCGACAAAAUCAGCAAAAUCACUAUCAAUUUCAACAUUUAUCGUAGGCACAAUGUUUUCCGGAAUAAUAUUCACAGCACCCGGGUUACCAAACGGAAAAACAUCCUCAAAAAACUUGACAUCACGAGAAACAAAUAAUUCCUUGGUGUCCAAAUCAAACAACUUCCACCCCUUCUUUCCAAACGGGUAACCCAAAAACACACAUUUUCUACUUCUACUUGCAAAUUUGUCACCUUUGGAUUUUUUAUCAUGAGCAAAACUAAGACAACCAAAGGUGUGAAUUGCCGCAUAUGAAGGAGGGGUGCCAAAUAGGAUUUCAAAUGGUGUUUUAUUGUGUAACAAAGGAGAGGGAGUGCGGUUUAUUAAGUGAGCAGCGGCAAGAACACUUUCGCCCCAAAAAUAAAUAGGCAAAUUUGCUUGAAAGCGUAAUGCCCUCCCCACAUUUAAAAUAUGCUUGUGUUUUCUCUCAACCCUCCCAUUUUGUUGCGGAGUUCCCACACAAGAAGUUUGGAAUAAAAUACCAGUUGCAGAAAAAUAGUCAAGUAGGCAUUUAAAUUCCGUACCAUUAUCACUUUGAACAACUUUCACUGUUUGAGAAAAUUGUCGAUCUACCAUUGCAAUAAAAGACAUAAACAUCCGAAAAACUUCUGUUUUGUCGACCAACAAAUAAAUCCACACAGCUCUUGAGAAAUCAUCAACAAUAGUUAAAAAAUAACGAGCUCCACAAGAAGAGACAUGUUUAUAAGAGCCCUACAAAUCACAAUGUAUUUUCUCAAAAAUUCUAGUUGCCUUAUUGUCACUUAAAGGAAAUUUGUCUCUAGGAUGCUUAGCACGAAAACAUAUUUCACAAGCUUUGUUUAAACUACCCUUAAGAUUGCUAACUGGAGGAAGUAACUUCACUACUUUCUCUGAAGGAUGUCCCAUCCUUUUGUGCCACAACUCCAAAGUGGAUGCUGCGUUGUGGACAGAAACAUGUUGUACCGAAUCACCUUCAGCUCCACCGAAGUAGUAAAGUCCAUCUCGCCUAACUCCCGUUCCAAUCAGCUCCCUGGUGUGGUCCUGUAUAGCACACAUAUAAGAGUUAAAUUGGACAAUACAAUGUAAGUCAUCAGUCAAUUGUGAAACCGAAAGUAAAUUGCAAUUGAGUUUCGGCACAUAAAGAACGUUUUGAAGAGUGAUGUUAUUCGACAAACGAACGGAACCAGAUUGGGUCGCAACAACAGAUUCACCAUUAGGAAGGCCAACCGGACACUCAAACAACGCUAUAGUAUCAAAUAACCAAGAUAAAUCACCGGUCACGUGAUGAGUUGCCCCGGUGUCAAUGAUCCAUGACUUCGUGUCAAACUUACCAUUCAACCUGUCAUCCAGAACUUGAGCAUUACCAAUUAAGCCCGCAAGAGCUUUCCAUUGUUUGGGCAAAAAAGGUGAAUUCAUCUCCCUUUUAGGUGGCGACAAUGGUGGUUGUUCAUCGUCGCCGGCCAUUGUUUUAUUGUGUGUGCAUGUCAGCGCUCUGAUACCAUGUAAAGUGUGAUUAAAGGGUCAAAGCUUGACCCUAAUUGAUAUUCAUCCACGUAAAUAUAUAGUACAUCAAGCAAACCUAAUUAAGGGAAAACCGUGAGUUUAGGAAACAAUCCUAAACAAUAGCAACUACUUUCCUAGAAUACUUUCCUAGAAUAUAUCAUAAUAUCUCAAUCGUGAGUUUAGGAAACAAUCCUAAACAAUAGCAACUACUUUCCUAAUAUACUUUCCUAGAAUAUAUCAUAAUAUCUCAACAAUUUGGGACAACACUUGAAGGGUUGUAAAGGUUAAUUUAUACCUCAAAUCCAAGUCUACUACACUUUGAAGAGCUUUGGUGAAAGAAGCUCUUAUACUAGUGGAAACACAUCAAACUUGUGAAGAUGUUAAAAAAAAAAGAGACCCAACAUGUAGCGAACCAAACAUGGCACAUGAUUUUUCUUUUUUCCAUUUUUUUCCUCCUCUUUAUUACCUUCAAGUCAAACUACCUUUAACCUUUUUUUUGUAUUAUUAUUAUGCUAGCUACACCUUGUUUCAUGAAACUUUUUUAAUUUCAUUUUUUUAACUCUUUCAUCUUCUCAUAUUUAUUAAUUUUAAUUACUUAUGGUCAUUUUAAACAUAAAACAAUAAUAUAACAAAUAAUUAAUGAAAAUAAAUUUAAUAUAAACAUAAAUAUAUAAUAAACAAAUUUAGAUGUUUACAACAUAAAAUUUUAUAUAUUUAUGUUAAAUAAAAUGUUUAUUUAUUUGAUUAAUCUUAUCACAUAUAGAUUAAAUAAAUAUGCCUUAUCAUAUAAAAAAAUUAAAUUUUAAUUUGAAAAUUAGAGUCAAUAAUCAUAAUUUUAGUUUUUUACUUAUGGUUUGAACUUUACCAUGAUUCUAACUUUUUUGUUUGGUUAAAAUAUUUAAUUUUUUAUUUAUAUAAAAUAAAAACUUGACUAUAGUUUUAAUCCUUUGUUUAGUUAAAAUUUUUAAUUUUCUAUUUAUAAAAUAUAAAAUAUAAAAUAUUUUUCAUAAAAAAAAUUGUAUUUGAUAAUUUGUAUUAAUUUUUUCUUAAUUUUAUUAGGAAUUAAAAUUUUUGCAAAUUGAAGUUGCACACCUUUCAAGUUCAUAGGAAAAGAAAAAUAAUGCAUUACACACCUCAGAAGUUAUACAUCACUCAAAUUGUGCACUCUUAUUCAUUCAAAUUGUUGCGUAUCUUUCCCAUCAUAUAUCUUUUUCACUUGUAAUAUUAUAGAUUGUAGGCUUGGAAUCUAUCACCAUAAUUGGUGAAAUCCACCACUAUUUAUUUAAUAAUAAAAAUAUGUUGUGUACUUUCCUUUUUCCCUAGCUAAACUAGGCAUUCCUUUUUUAGUGUUCCAAAGAGUUACAAAUGAAUCACUAUCCUUAGCCUGUUAUCUCAUUCCCUUUCUUGUGCUUUCCUUAUUUAGUGUAACCUUUAAUUUUCAUAUGAACAUCCUUCUAGUCUUUGAGAAUCCAUUUACCUAUCCCAAUGAAAUGUGGUAAGUUCUCGAAUAUUACAUGAAUCUUGGUGUUCAUAAUAGUCCUAAAGGCAACUUAUCCAAUGGACUUGCCUUUAUUUCCAAAUAAUCCUUACAACCUUAAAUCAAAUCAUAGACCAUAACAAUAGUCAUGUGUUACUAUUACAACACAUUACAAGUACAAGACAUUUGGUCUUCUGGUCCUUCUAAUGUUGGUUUUGAUAUACCAUUAUUUCUUCUUAGUAGGUUAGUUCAUAAUAAAUAACUAGUUCUGCCUAAAUUAGCUUCUUUGCAACUAAUACUAUAUCCAGGCCAUAUUUCAAUCUAUGAUUAGACAUAGCUCAAAAAUGAUAGUAGAGGUGAUGAGCUUAAAGACAUGAAACUAGUAAAAAAUAAAAUAAUUCUAUAUAAAGUUCUUUUUAAAUUUAAUUAGAUAUAUACUUAGGGAGAUGGAAUGAAACACCGCAAUACCCAAAUUUGUUCCUCUGUUUUUUCAAAAAAAAAAAUCUUAAACAUAUCCUUUUAACUUAUUUAUCUUCAUUCCAAACUCAUCAUAUUAGUGAUAGACAUUUAAAAAACUUGUCACAUUAUCAAAUUUUACAUAUAUUAUCUUAUCUCAGGUUAUUGAAUCAGACAAUCAAACAUAGCGUAUUGAUGAUUGAAUUGUAGAAUUAAAAUAAAAUAAGCAUAAUCAAAUCUUAUUUUAGCUGCCAUUUAUCAAUUACACAUUUCAACCAUAGAACAGUUCAACCAUGCUCCUAAGAAGAUGUCUAUUUUAGACAACUAGACCAUAGGAGAUAAUAAUUUUUUUUUGUCUGAGUCUUUUUAUGUCCCAUGGAGCAUUAGAUCACAACAGUAUUUCUUGUAUGGACAUAUACCAAAAGUGGUUGCUAUUUAUAAAACAUUAAUUAUUUUUAAUAUCUAAUUAUUAUUUUUUAUUUAUGAAGUAAAAUAAUAAAAAUAAUGAUAAAAGGGAAGUGCACGCUUAGGAUGCUGACAUCACCUUAUUUAAUUAAAUAAAAAUAUGUUUUUAUAUUCCCAUUUAAAAAUAUUUGUAAAAUGAAAUAUCAUUUUUCAUAUUUAAAAUCAUAUCAGUAUCUUUCACUUACCUUUCUUCUGAAUGGAUGUAUGAUAAUGAAAUUACUUAAAAUAUAUGCUGACGGUUCCGUGGAAGGUAGGAUUUGUGGGUUGAUUUUCCAAAUUUGGGAGUCCAAAUAACGGUUUCUGUCCUCUACAAUAAAAAAAAAUAGAAAAACACGUUGAACAGUUAAAAAAAUAUUUUUUAUUUGUUAUUUUAUAUUCUUAAAAAUAAAAGUAAAAGGGAUAUUUUGAAUUGUUUUCAAUUAUUUUUUUUUAAGUUUAUUUUUAAAAAUAAUUAUACACCAUGUAAAAUUAUUGAAAACAAAACAUUAAAUAUAAAAAUUAUUUUUAAAAAUAUUAAAAACACAUUAAAAGUACUUUAGAUUUGGAAACAAACUUUUAUUGUACAAAAUUUUAGACAACAAUUUUCAAAAAAUUUUAAAACUAUUUUCAAACACAGUGAAUUUGUUAACAAAUUUAUUAAAUAAUUUAGAACUCAAAAGCUAAGGUAAUUAUUAUUAAAAUCUUAUGAAUUAAAACUUAUUUAAAAUGAUUUUAUUAUUUCUUUUCUAAACUUAAUUACAUUUUUAUAAAAAAAUUUAUUAGAUAAAUGAAUUUUAAAUUAAACUAUUAAUUAAUAAAAAUAGAUAUAAAUUAUUUUAAUGUCUAAUUAUUAUUUAUUAUAAAGUAAAAUAAUAAAAAUAAUGAUAAAAGUUUGACCCACAUGAGGAGAUAAAACGUAGACACGAUGUUAUUUAUUUUCCUCAUGCUUACGACACAAUGAACAUAUUAGCCAUUCAUGGCUGAAAUUUUUUUAUUUUAUUUUAUUUAAAGUAUUAAAAUAUUAUUUUAAAAGAAUAUUAUAAAAAUUAUUAGUUUGUAAUGCAUGGAGAAUUAUGCCAGAGAUGUUAUUAAAUAUCAAGAAUUCUACUAAAAAAAUUAUUAAAUAUUGAGAAUUGUGAAACCCAUGUGGUUAUUUCUAAUAAUUAAAAAAAAAAAAUGGAAGAAGGAUUUUUUUUUUUUCUUUCAACCUCAAUGCCCUCAGUUAUAAAUCACACACUGCCUGUGAACCCACAACUCCAUCACUCACUUUACACAGCAAGCAAGUUUUGGCAACCACCAAGCCAUCGUCUCCCCUAACCCCAACUUUCACACCCACCAUCACACCGUCGAAAACCGUCUCCCUCAGGAACCCAAUCAUUACUAGAAUUCGAAUCGCCAACCUCCACAAGCUUGUUGAUUUUGAGUCAACUAGAGUCAGAUUCAUCCAACUUAAUGGAAGUUAGACGAACUUCCUCCCUUCUUUGUGUCUUUCAGAGAAUCCGCCCAACAGUAGUAAGACUAGGUGAACUCCUUUCCUGCACAAAAGGUGUCCAAACGGAUGGUUCGGGCACUCCCCUUCGAAGCUUAAGUGAGGCAAGAAUAGGUCAAGCUGCUUAGUGAGAGAGAAGAUAUGCGUAUGUGUGUGCGUACCCUAUUUAUGCUUUUUGAAGGGUUUAUAUAGUGCUGAUGAGAAUGUCAUUAUAGUAUUGACUAUGCAUUUUGACUUUCUUCUAUAAUUAUGAUUGUCCUACAGGCGGAUGAGCAAUCAUCACAAUUUUGGGCAAUUGGCAAGUGUCAUCAGUUGUCAUGUCAUGAUCUUGGACUAUGCAAUCGCUUAUCCCCUCAACAUGUUGAUGGUUUAGGGUUAUGUGCAACAAUUAAUUGACAUGGACUUGAGGGCUAGAAGAGGUCCCAUCAGCCGUUCACAUGUCUGGUGUGAAUGAUCACGCAUGUCAAUGAGUCUUAAAGACUUGAUUGGACAGUCCUAUCUGUUUGGGGGGUCCGACUUCCUCUUGUCAUCUGGCCUUAUAGGGAAAAAAGGUAUUCUUAUGCCUGGUGUUAGGCGGAACUGGUUAUGAUCUGAACAGAAUGAUCCAGAUAGGUUGUGUGCCUGUGUUAAACGGUCAAGGUAUCUUGGUUGAAAAAGGGACAAAUACAGAGAAGCCCCCCACAAAGCUCAUGUACCAAAUCGUCAUCUUCAAGCGUCUUACCCACAAGUUUUCUACCAUUGAGUCAUCCCCCUCUGCCACUCUUCAAUUCCCCACCCUUCCAAUCCUUCACCGUCUUCUUCCUUGAAGUCU